CCUACGGGUGGCAGCAGUGAGGAAUAUUGGUCAAUGGACGAGAGUCUGAACCAGCCAAGUAGCGUGAAGGAUGACUGCCCUAUGGGUUGUAAACUUCUUUUAUAUGGGAAUAAAAUGUUCCACGUGUGGGAUUUUGUAUGUACCAUAUGAAUAAGGAUCGGCUAACUCCGUGCCAGCAGCCGCGGUAAUACGGAGGAUCCGAGCGUUAUCCGGAUUUAUUGGGUUUAAAGGGAGCGUAGGUGGAUUGUUAAGUCAGUUGUGAAAGUUUGCGGCUCAACCGUAAAAUUGCAGUUGAAACUGGCAGUCUUGAGUACAGUAGAGGUGGGCGGAAUUCGUGGUGUAGCGGUGAAAUGCUUAGAUAUCACGAAGAACUCCGAUUGCGAAGGCAGUUCACUGGACUGCAACUGACACUGAGGCUCGAAAGUGUGGGUAUCAAACAGGAUUAGAUACUCGUGUAGUC
rnacentral:rRNA from 1 species